rnacentral:rRNA from 1 species
GACGAAGGGGGCUAGCGUUGUUCGGAAUUACUGGGCGUAAAGCGCGUGUAGGUGGUUGUCCAAGUUGGAUGUGAAAGCCUUGAGCUCAACUCAAGAAAUGCAUUCAGGACUGGAUGACUAGAGGACCGGAGAGGAUAGUGGAAUUCCCAGUGUAGUGGUGAAAUACGUAGAUAUUGGGAAGAACACCAGUGGCGAAGGCGGCUAUCUGGACGGUUUCUGACACUAAGACUCGAAAGCGUGGGGAGCAAACAGG